GACAGAGGGUGCAAACGUUGUCCGGAAUUAUUGGGCGUAAAGAGCUCGUAGGCGGUUUGUCGCGUCUGCUGUGAAAACCCGAGGCUCAACCUCGGGCCUGCAGUGGGUACGGGCAGACUAGAGUGCGGUAGGGGAGAUUGGAAUUCCUGGUGUAGCGGUGGAAUGCGCAGAUAUCAGGAGGAACACCGAUGGCGAAGGCAGAUCUCUGGGCCGUAACUGACGCUGAGGAGCGAAAGCAUGGGGAGCGAACAGG
rnacentral:rRNA from 1 species